rnacentral:misc_RNA from 1 species
GAUGAAGAACGUAGCAAAAUGCGAUAAGUAAUGUGAAUUGCAGAAUUCAGUGAAUCAUCGAAUCUUUGGACGCACAUUGCGCCCGCCAGUACUCUGGCGGGCAUGCCUGUCCGAGCGUCAUUUCAACCCUCAGGGCCCUCCAGCAGGGCGCUGGUGUUGGGGAUCGGCAGUCCCAGCGGCUGCCGUCCCUGAAAUGUAGUGGCGGUCCCACCGUGACCUCCCCUGUGCAGUACAUCGCUCGCAGAGGGACAGCGGAGCGGCCACGCCGUAAAACGCCCAACUCUUCAAGGUUGACCUCGGAUCAGGUAGGACUACCCGCUGAACUUAAGCAUAUCAAUAAGCGGAGGA